UUGAUGGUUUCAGGUUUUCAACCGAUAGGACCGAUUAACGUCCUCAUUGCUAUUCUGGGCAUUUCGUUGUGUUUGUUUCGUGCUGCUCAAUCAAAAUGAAAACUUUCAAUUUUGCAAUAAUUUUUUCGUGCUUUCUAUUCGUCGUUUCGGAUGGACGUGGACUAAAGUCCGAAGUAAAGCCUUCACUUGGCAGUGUAGCUGCUCAGGAAAGUGAUAAAUUAGAAUUUCCGAAGAAGCCGGUACUUGCCACUUCAUUGGUUAGCGAUGAUUCGAGGCAAAUCAACUCUACCAGUCAUAGCGAAGCAGGAUACACGUUGGUCUCCAUCGCUUUCGUAAAAGAUAACCCCUGUGCAGGUAACCAGCAAAGAGACCAGAAUGGAAAAUGCCGAGAUCCGGCUUAGUUUAAAAAAUUCAUACUUUUGUUAAUCCAUGUAAUUCACAAGCUUAGAUUCAAUGCGAGUGUUUGCAGCUGCAAUAAUUAUUCCAAAUCAAUAAACAAACAAUUGCAGUUUUUUUAUUUGCAAGUAUGUGAAUAUUUUAGCAAAUAAGCAGUUAUUUACCACGCAAUUGCACACUAAUAAAAAUGAUAGUACACUUCGUCA
rnacentral:lncRNA from 1 species